rnacentral:rRNA from 1 species
GACGAACGCUGGCGGCGUGCCUAAUACAUGCAAGUAGAACGCACAGUUUAUACCGUAGCUUGCUACACCAUAAACUGUGAGUUGCGAACGGGUGAGUAACGCGUAGGUAACCUGCCUGGUAGCGGGGGAUAACUAUUGGAAACGAUAGCUAAUACCGCAUAAUAUUGAUUAUUGCAUGAUAAUUGAUUGAAAGAUGCUAUUGCAUCACUACCAGAUGGACCUGCGGUGUAUUAGCUAGUAGGUGAGGUAACGGCUCACCUAGGCGACGAUACAUAGCCGACCUGAGAGGGUGAUCGGCCACACUGGGACUGAGACACGGCCCAGACUCCUACGGGAGGCAGCAGUAGGGAAUCUUCGGCAAUGGACGAAAGUCUGACCGAGCAACGCCGCGUGAGUGAAGAAGGUUUUCGGAUCGUAAAGCUCUGUUGUAAGAGAAGAACGGGUGUGAGAGUGGAAAGUUCACACUGUGACGGUAUCUUACCAGAAAGGGACGGCUAACUACGUG